UCCUAACUUCAAUGCCCUUGGCUCUACCAGUGGAAUUCCCAGCGAUCAGACGACAAGACAGAGGGGUGUGUGUAGUGGUGUGUGUGUGUGUGUGUGUGUGUGUGUGUGUGUGUG